AGACGCAGAGAACUGAAACAUCUAAGUACCUGCAGGAAGAGAAAGAAAAUUCGAUUCCCUGAGUAGCGGCGAGCGAAACGGGAAAAGCCCAAACCAGCAAGCUUGCUUGUUGGGGUUGUAGGACUCCAAUAUGGUAGUUCUUUCAGAUAGUCGAAUGACUUGGAAAAGUCAGUCAAAGAGGGUAAAAACCCCGUAGACGAAAUGUGGAAGACACCUAGGAGGAUCCUGAGUACGGCGGAACACGAGAAAUUCCGU
rnacentral:rRNA from 1 species